CCAGUCAAAAGUUUGGACACACCUAAUUAUUAUUUUUACUAUUUUUUACAUUGUAGAAUAAUAGUGAAGACAUCAAAACUAUGAAACAACACACCAAAAAAGUGUUACACAAGUCAAAAUAUAGUUUAUGUUUGAGAUUCUUCAAAGAAGCCACCCUUAUCUUUGAUGACAGCUUUGCACACUCUUGGCAUUCUCUCAACCAGCUUCAUGAGGUAGUCACCUGGAAUGCGUAUCAAUUAACAGGUGUGCCUUGUUAAAAGUUAAUUUGUGGAAUUUCUUUCCUUCUUAAUGCUUUUGAGCCAAUCAGUUGUGUUGUGACAAGGUAGGGCUGGUAUAUAGAAGAUAGCCCUAUUUGGUAAAAGACCAAGUCCAUAUUAUGGCAAGAACAGCUCAAAUAAGCAAAGAGAAACGACAGUCCAUCAUUACUUUAAGCCAUGAAAGUCAGUCAAUGUGGAAAAUUUUAAGAACUUUGAAAGUUUCUUCAAGUGCAGUGGCAAAAACCAUCAAGCGCUAUGAUGAAAUGGGCUCUUAUGAGGAAUUUCACAGGAAAGGAAGACCCAGAGUUACCUCUACUGCAGAGGAUGAGUUCAUCAGAGUUAACUGCACCUCAGAUUGCAGCCCAAAUAAAUGCUUCACAGAGUUCAAGUAGCAGACACAUAGACACAUCUCAACAUCAACUGUUCAGAGGAGACUGCGUGAUUCAGGCCUUCGUGGUCGAAUUGCUGCAAAGAAACCACUACCAAAAGGACACCAAUAAUAAGAAGAGACUUGCUUAGGCCAAGAAACAUGAGCAAUGGACAUUAGACCGGUGGAAAUCUGUCCUUUGGUCUUUUGAGUCCAAAUUUGAGAUUUUUGGUUCUUUGUGAGAUGCAGAGUAGGUGAACGGAUUAUCUCCGUAUGUGUGGUUUCCACCGUGAAGCAUGGAGGAGAAGGUGUGAUGGAAUGGGGGUGCUUUGCUGCUGACACUCAGUGAUUUGUUUAGAAUUAAAGGCACACUUAACCAGCAUGGCUACCACAGCAUUCUGCAGCGAUCCACCACCCCAUCUGGUUUGCGCUUAGUGGGACUAUCAUUGGUUUUUCAACAGGACAAUGACCCAACACACCUUCAGGCUGUGUAAGGGCUAUUUGACCAAGAAGGAGAGGGAUGGAGUGCUGCAUCAGAUGACCUGGCCUCCAAAAUCACCCGACCUCAACCCGAUUGAGAUUAUUUGGGAUGAGUUAGACCGCAGAGUGAAGGAAAAGCAGUACUGUAUAUAUAUAUAUAUAUAUUUUAAACCCAAUCAUUACUAUAUGACCCCCGUUGAAACAGACCCUUUUAAUAUAAUUCCGUAGCUGUCAAAUUGGUAGGGCUGGGAGGUGGGAUGUUGUUAAACCAUGUUCGCAAUUCAAAUUAGAGCGGAUUGAGCAGCUGAUCAGUAGAAUUAGGUAUGUUCGUGCAGGGUUGGAGCAAAAGCCUGCAGACAAUAGCUCUCCAAGCGGAGGGAUGGUCAUCCCUAUUCUUGUGUAUGUGACUUUGAAGGAAAAUUGAAAUUGCCAGACUGGAUUGUUUUUAGUACCUUUGUAGACUGAGAUGCACUGUAGCAAAGUCUCCUCCAUUUUUACGCUGAGUUGAGUACACACGAUUGCUGGAGCAACUAGCCCUUUUCCAUGACCUCUUGGUAUAGUGCCAGUUGCCCCUAACCACAGAUCUAGGAUCAGAUGACCUUAUCCCCAAUCCUAAUUUUAACCAGUAGGAGGAUGCAAACGGAUCUAACCCUGUAUCCUUUGGUUAGGCACAUUGAUGAGAUUGAGAGACAGUCAUUUUUUAAAAUGUAUUUGACCUUUAUUUAACCAGGAAGGGCUCAUUGAGAUUUGAAAUCUCUUUUUCAAGAGUGUCCUGGCCAAGAUAGGCAGCACCUAGUCAUUACACAAUUACAGACAGACAACAUGAAAGACUACAGGUAAUCUAGUAAAACAACAUAGAAUUCACAAGAGUAUAACAAAAUUAUAAAACAGCGAAUUAAAAACAUUGACAGGUCAGGGAAUCCUCCUCAAAAUCCUUCAUCAAUGAUUUACAAACACCAAUUGGGACAAGUUCUUCCAGUUUGAAAGUAUUUUAAGGCGUUCCAAGACGAUGGCGCAGAGUACAUAAAAGCCCUUUUUCCAAAUUCAGUUCAGAAAUUUGGAACAGUUAGCAGGAUAAAGUUCAGUGAACGAAGAGAGUGUCUUCACCACAUUUCUGAACAAUAAAAAAGCACAAAUAAAAUGUUAGUAAACCCAAAAAUGACUUUGUAAAUUAAAGUUUACCAGUGACUGAGCCCACGAGUGACUAGAGAAGGCCAGCCAACCCUGGUAUAUAAAGUAGUUAGACAUAGGACUGAUGGAUGCUUUGUUAACUCACUCCAAACUAAUAUACUAACAUUUCCUGUUGCUGAUUUUCUUUUGUUGUGUUUCAUAUUAACUCUGGUGUGGUGUGGGAAGAUAUAGAAACCAUAUUUAUUAUUAAUGUAUGACUUUGAGAUAUGCAGAAAGGAUGAAAUAAAUGUCUGUGGAUUAUAUUUUGAAUUGUCUCUUGGAUCUGUUUGGCUUAAGGACUGGAUGGCUUACGAACAUUCUCGAUGCAA
ensembl:lncRNA